UCGCCUUUUGUAUACCAAAGUUUUUCAACCCUUCAGUGGUUCAGAUACCCCUUCCGUACCGGUGGAGAGAAUACUUUAUCGAGGACCUCUCAUGAGCACUUUGCCACUCGUUUCACCAAUGUUAAUGAUGAAUUUCUCUAUAACCUGCCGAAAUUUUUCGAAAUUUUUUCGUGUCCUUUCUUCAUGAGAGUAUUAUUUCUUAAUUUAUUCCCAAAAUCUUUCAAUGGGUCGACACUAAGGUACAUUUGGAGCGCAGUAUUUUUUAUCGACGAAAUCAACUUUUUUCCUUCGGAGGUACCCGGUCAAUAUUUUGGCAAUGUGGCACGUACCCAUGUUCGGUAAAAAUAAAACGUCUUGGUUUUUGAUAGAGGGGGUCUAUCGCUUGAUGGCACACUCUUUGAAAUAAAGUCAAAGUUCAUAUUCCUGGUGGAAGCGAAUGGAUUUGAGACGUUCCCAUUUUUGUCGAUAUCCGGCCAUUUUAUGUAUUUCAUUGGAAAUUUUGCUUGGUUUUGAAUUUAUAUUUCGAACGAACGUCAUUUUUACUUGUACAUGAGUAGACCUUUACAGGAUUAACGCUACGAGGUCAAGGAGGCACUAGUUUUCAUCAUCCAGGACGACAAACUUCUGGGAGUCGAUUUUAACAUUUUCUCAACAAGUUUUCAACAAAUUACUUUAGCACCUCCUUUUUUAUCUUCAUUGUAUUUUUCCGUGGUUUUUGGUUUGCAAGUUUUGAAGCCCAUCUUAUUGGCAUUGAUCUUGCGCAGAUAGGUUUUUGAAUUUUUUAGUUUUCUGGGUGCAGCCCUAGGGGAUAUGUUGGGGUGGCCCCUAAAGGAUUUUUUUACGUUUCUCGUCAGUGUUUUGGUGUUCUGGCGGACAGGUGGACACGUGGAAAUUUUAUAUUUCGAAUUUUUACAAUCCUUAGAUAUGUGUAGUGUAUGACUAAUUUUGUCCGGGCCAUCCCUUGAAGAAUGAGGUGGUCAUGAGCCUUUCUUCGAUCCGAAAAAAUCAGUUUUUCGCACGAGUGGCAAACGAAUUUUUCCACUUCCUCUAAAUUUUGUGCCGUCAUUUUUUAACCAAUAGAGAUAAUCAAAUUCUGUUUUCAGCUUUAGAAAGCUUAUCAAAUUUGCUAAUUUUUGUGCUUUUUUAUUUAUCCAAAAUUAGUUUUUAAGUGGUUGAAAAAAUAGGGGGAACCUUGAUACUAUAUUUCACCGGACAGUCCAUAUCCCGACCAGGUUAAGAAUCCAGCGUAUCUGCGAAAUGUCGCCCUCUUCAUCGCGGUGGAUUCCAUAACUAUCUUUGUAAUGGCCGUGCUCUUCGUCCUGGCAUGCUGCAUGAUUCAUGGAUAUCGUAUGCGCAAUCAUCGCUGGAUUACGCCCUGGUUGAUCUGGAGCUAUGCGACCCUUGCCUGUGCCGCUGUUAUCAUUCUGGUGAUAUUUUUCAUUGCCGUCGUCGCUGGAAGUGUCGCGGGGGGAUUUCUUUUCCUCGGUGUGGGCGGGCUUUUGCUCGCAGCGGAGACCUGCUCUAUCCUCGUGGUGAAAAGAUUCGUCGAUGAAUUGAAGAGAGGCGCGGUUAAUUAGAGCUUGUCAAAAUUUUGGCAAAAAAUAACUUGAAAAGAUUUCAUGACAAUUUUGAAUUUCGAUUUAUUUAUUAAAAUAUAGUUUGAGUGUGGAAAUAAUUAUGGUCGAGGUAUUAAAAUUAGAGCCAUUUUUUACGUAAGCAGUGAAUGUAUUUAAAAUGGCUUUAAUUAUAAUGCCUCGACCAUAGUUAGUUAUUUAAACUGGUUUAAAUUAUUUGAUGUAUUGAUAUCUGCUUUGCAUCUCUGCAUCAUUUCAUUUUAAAGUUUAUUAAACUGUAAUGAGGACUAAACUUUAUUUACUUGCUUAUAUGUUCACUUAUUUACGAAACUAACAGUAAUAAAUUUACAACCAAUCAGGUCACCUGAUUCAGGUGAAAGUAUUUCCUAAUUAUGUUUAUUACAGAUUUAAGGAUUAUUUGAUGCAUACAUUUAUCGCCAAAUUAUA